rnacentral:rRNA from 1 species
CCUACGGGAGGCAGCAGUGGGGAAUAUUGCACAAUGGGGGAAACCCUGAUGCAGCGACGCCGCGUGAGUGAAGAAGUAAUUCGUUAUGUAAAGCUCUAUCAGCAGGGAAGAAAAUGACGGUACCUGAGUAAGAAGCCCCGGCUAACUACGUGCCAGCAGCCGCGGUAAUACGUAGGGGGCAAGCGUUAUCCGGAUUUACUGGGUGUAAAGGGAGCGUAGACGGCAGUGCAAGUCUGGAGUGAAAGGCGGGGGCUCAACCCCCGGACUGCUCUGGAAACUGUACGGCUGGAGUGCAGGAGAGGUAAGUGGAAUUCCUAGUGUAGCGGUGAAAUGCGUAGAUAUUAGGAGGAACACCAGUGGCGAAGGCGGCUUGCUGGACGGUAACUGACGUUGAGGCUCGAAAGCGUGGGGAGCAAACAGGAUUAGAUACCCGAGUAGUC